rnacentral:lncRNA from 1 species
ACGUGGUAACCGACACCUACUCUGCAGUAAUUUAGUGUCACGCAGGCAGUGAAUUUUGCAGAGUGUGUUUACCAUAGCGAAGUGCCAAAUGUGGCACUCAAACUGCACCAAUAACGAACAUCGGCAGAUGUUGUUACUGCAAUGUGAUCGUAUUAUUAGAAAAAAAUUUAACCAUCGUUUGCCAUAAAACGUUACGUUUAUUGGUCUGCACGCGGAGGUCGACACGGUGCACUACCUGCGACGAAAAAGAUGAACGUGGGAAUUUCGAUUUGAUUGCAAUUUGGAUAUUUUAGAGCGUACACUAAGGAAACUCCACCAUGCCGCGCAUCGAUCAUCCCGCGACCAGUCGAAUACGACGUAUGAUAAUUGUCGCAGACGGAUCGGAACUUAUGCACCCCAAUACCAAACGCAAUCCGCUUCCCUGCAUCGAUAUGCCGCUAAUUGUUACCAUUUCGCAUCGUGCACCGCUAGCAUCACGCUCUACAC